GUUAUCGUUUAUUUGAUAGUACCUUACUACUUGGAUAACCGUGGUAAUUCUAGAGCUAAUACAUGCUGAAAACCCCAACUUCGGGAGGGGUGUAUUUAUUAGAUAAAAAACCAACGCCCUUCGGGGCUUCUUGGUGAUUCAUGAUAACCUCACGGAUCGCAUGGCCUUGCGCCGGCGACGGUUCGUUCAAAUUUCUGCCCUAUCAACUUUCGAUGGUAAGGUAUUGGCUUACCAUGGUUUCAACGGGUAACGGGGAAUUAGGGUUCGAUUCCGGAGAGGGAGCCUGAGAAACGGCUACCACAUCCAAGGAAGGCAGCAGGCGCGCAAAUUACCCAAUCCCGACACGGGGAGGUAGUGACAAUAAAUACUGAUACAGGGCUCUUUUGGGUCUUGUAAUUGGAAUGAGUACAAUUUAAACCUCUUAACGAGGAACAAUUGGAGGGCAAGUCUGGUGCCAGCAGCCGCGGUAAUUCCAGCUCCAAUAGCGUAUAUUAAAGUUGUUGCAGUUAAAAAGCUCGUAGUUGAAACUUGG
rnacentral:rRNA from 1 species